rnacentral:tRNA from 1 species
CCGGAGGGCUUGUAGCUCAGUUGGUUAGAGCGCGCGCUUGAUAAGCGUGAGGUCGGAGGUUCAAGUCCUCCCAGGCCCACCAAUUUAUGCUCGUUUUUUGCUUAUCCAAGAGUAUAAAGCUUAAGCGUAUUAAAGCCUCUUCAAUCUUUGUUUAUUUUUAAAGAUUUUAUUUUAUCAUUCAGAGAUUGUUUGUUAAAUUUAUCCCAUUAAGCUUCCAAAGAGGCUUUGUCCCUUCAGUGGUACAGAUAAAUUUACAUGAUACAAAUCAAAACAGGACAGGUAAUUCAAGUUGAUGAAUUUGGUUAUGGUUGAUUUGAGAGAGCAUUAUUUAGGGGCCGUAGCUCAGCUGGGAGAGCACCUGCUUUGCAAGCAGGGGGUCGUCGGUUCGAUCCCGUCCGGCUCCACCAUUUGGUCAUCAUCGUGUUGUGAGAACACGGUUUAGUAAGGGGGGUUAUACCCUUUUGCUUGUUCUAUUGAAAUUGUG